rnacentral:rRNA from 1 species
AGUCGAACGAAGUAGCAAUACUUAGUGGCAGACGGGUGAGUAACAUGUAGGUAUCUGCCCUUUGGCCUGGAAUAACACGAGGAAACUUGUGCUAAUACCGGAUAAGUCUUUACGGAGAAAGCUUUAUGCACCAUUGGAUGAGCCUGCACUUGAUUAGUUUGUUGGUGGGGUAAUGGCCUACCAAGACUGUGAUCAAUAGCUGAUUUGAGAGGAUGAUCAGCCACAUUGGGACUGAGACACGGCCCAAACUCCUACGGGAGGCAGCAGUGGGGAAUCUUGCACAAUGGAGGAAACUCUGAUGCAGCGAUGCCGCGUGAGUGAAGAAGGCCCUUGGGUUGUAAAGCUCUUUCGUCGGGGAAGAAAAUGACUGUACCCGAAUAAGAAGGUCCGGCUAACUUCGUGCCAGCAGCCGCGGUAAUACGAAGGGACCUAGCGUAGUUCGGAAUUACUGGGCUUAAAGAGUUCGUAGGUGGUUGAAAAAGUUAGUGGUGAAAUCCCAGAGCUUAACUCUGGGAACUGCCAUUAAAACUUUUCAGCUAGAGUAUGAUAGA